GCGUCGGUGGUAGAGCGGUCAAUUACAACAGGCUGUAAACCUGUCGGCUUCGGCCUACGCAAGUUCGAAUCUUGCCCGGCGCACAA
rnacentral:tRNA from 1 species